UACGUAGGUGGCGAGCGUUGUUCGGAUUUAUUGGGCGUAAAGGGUCCGCAGGGGGUUUAUCAAGUCUGAUGUGAAAUCCCAAGGCUCAACCUUGGAACUGCAUUGGAAACUAGUAAACUAGAGUAUCGGAGAGGUAAAUGGAAUUCCUGGUGUAGCGGUGGAAUGCGUAGAUAUCAGGAAGAACACCGAGAGCGAAGGCAAUUUACUGGACGAUUACUGACCCUCAGGGACGAAAGCGUAGGUAGCGAAC
rnacentral:rRNA from 1 species